CAGCCGCCGCGGGAAAACAGAGGGUGCGAGCGUUAAUCGGAUUUACUGGGCGUAAAGCGUGUGUAGGUUGUUGUUCAAGUCAGUUGUGAAAUCCCUGGGCUCAACCUGGGAACUGCAUUUGUGACUGUAUAGCUAGAGUACGGCAGAGGGGGAUGGAAUUCCGCGUGUAGCAGUGAAAUGCGUAGAUAUGCGGAGGAACACCGAUGGCGAAGGCAAUCCCCUGGGCCUGUACUGACGCUCAUGCACGAAAGCGUGGGGAGCAAACAGGAUUAGAUACCCCAGUAGUCCCUGUCUCUUAUAC
rnacentral:rRNA from 1 species